ensembl:lncRNA
CCCCACACACACACACACACACACACACACACACACACAGGCACACAUUGAACCUACUUUCAACCAAACAAAUGUUACAACAAAAGCAGGUUUCAUGAACGGACAUGCACCCUUAAGCAUAGGUCAGACACAGUGCAUGGAAAGUGCUUGACAGCAUAACUGGACCCAGUUCUCUAUACCCAGAGGACGAGUCGGGCUUCCUGCUCGAACCAACCCAAGCUUGCAGUCUGCUAGCUGAGGUACGCUCUACUCUACGACUGCGGCAGGCCGAUCUGAAGCCAAAGCAAGACGUUUUGACAGUGAAAUAUUGAGGUGACUGCAAACGGUAUCCAAAGACAACAAAUUUACUUUCCAAAAUAUCGCCAGAACUGUGGUGUUUUUCAGUAUCGUUUUGAUUUUUCCGAAAAAGAAAUUUAGAGUAAACCAUAUUUUUUAAAUAUUUGACAGUGCCAUCUGUGUUGAAACUUGUUUUGGGGAUUUUUGUUUCCGAUUGAGUUGAACAAGUGUCACUGAUGUCAAGGCAUCAAUUUGAGCCUGUUCUAAACAGUUGGGGGGGGUUCCAUUGGCACUACACACAAAUUCCUCAUUCCUCCAGUAUGCUUUACAAAAUCUUUCAUCAAAUGUACAUUAGUGGUUCAUCAAACACCAUACAAUCCAUGACUACUGGAGAUAAACCAAGUCAACGUUUCAGUGUUCUAAAACAGACUGGUACACUCUGAACCAGAAACACAACCAUACAUUUAAUAAAUAGAUCAUCAAACAGAAACAACAAACAAAUAACACAAAAAAAAGAAAACAUUAAACGAAAGCUACAGUUUCAGGUAUUUGGCAUUGUUAAAUAAGAAAAAACUAAAAGAAAAGUAACACAUUUCCACUGGCUUAAACGCCUACAUAAAAGGUAUGUUGGGUACGUCUAUCUAUUUUUGGUGUGGAGUAAAAACCAGCAUGCUAGCAAGAUGAUUAUAUAUCUCAUUAUAUAUCAUUCCUUCACAGCCAGCCACCCUAUUGGAUAGUCGGCCCUUAUGCUCUGCGAUGCUGACCUUCUCAAUGAAAACAACAAUGUCGUACUGCGGAAAGCUAGGUCUGAUUGGCUGCGGUCAGUGCACACACUUGGCCUCUCUUUACAUUUGGGAAAUAAAAGUCGAAUAGAAUACAGUAAUAGUAGCAAAUGCUGCUGCCUGGACAAACAUCCGUCUUUCAUUGCUUCUGCACGCAUGAGACAUCAAAUAUGAUUGUGUCAUCAGAUCAAGGGUGCCCGUCAGAUCGUUAGACCGUAAACAUAUCACAUUCUCAUCUUACUUACAUGCGGGCUCUCCCAGACCAAAACACAACCACAACGACGACGACGACGACGAUAACGACAUAUUGUUAGGAGCCCUCUGAGGUGCAGCUUGUAUGACCUUCCACUUCUGUGUAUUACCGACACAAACAAAAGGUGUGGGGCUGGUGGCCUGGAAAUGGAGGGGCGGCGUGUGUGUGUGUGUGUGUGUGUGUGUGUGUGUGUGUGUGUGUGUGUGUGUGUGUGUGUGUGUGUGUGUGUGUGUGUGACUGUGUGUGUGUGUGUGUGUGUGUGUGUGUGUGUGUGUGUGUGUGUGUGUGUGUGACCGUGUGUGUGUGUGUGUGUGUGUGUGUGUGUGUGUGUGUGUGUGUGUGUGUGUGUGUGACUGUGUGUGUGUGUGUGUGUGUGUGUGUGUGUGUGU